CUUUCCUGCAAUAUCUUCAGGGAAGAGGAUGCUGACCUCGAUGUAGCCAAGAUCCACAGAUGACGCAAUCUCAAUCGCACUUCACACUGCCCUUUCCCACCUGGUCGAAAGGAACACCUAUGUGAGAAUGCUGUUCAUUGACUACAGCUCAGCGUUCAACACCAUAGUGCCCACAAAGCUCAUCACUAAGCUAAGGACCCUGGGACUAAACACCUCCCUCUGCAACUGGAUCCUGGACUUCCUGUCGGGCCGCCACCAGGUGGUAAGGGUAGGCAACAACACAUAUGGCAUGCUGAUCCUCAACACUGGGGCCCCUCAGGGGUGUGUACUAAGUCCCCUCCUGUUCUCCCUGUUCACCCACGUCUGCGUGGCCAAACAUGACUCCAUCACCAUCAUUAAGUUUGCUGAUGACAACAGUGGUAGGCCUGAUCACCGACAAUGAUGAGACAGCCUAUAGGGAGGAGAUCAGAGAAUUAGCAGUAUGGUGCCAAGACAACAACCUAUUCCUCAAUGUGAGCAAGACAAAGGAGCUAAUUGUGGACUACAGGAAAAGGCGGGCCGAACAGGCCCCCAUUAACAUCGACGGGGCUGUAGUGGAAUGGGUCGAGAGGUUCAAGUUCCUUGGUGUCCACAUCACCAACGAACUAUCAUGGUCCAAACACACCAAGACAGUCAUGAAGAGGCCAUGACAAAACCUAUUCCCCCUCAGGAGACUGAAAAGAUUUGGCAUGGGUCCUCAGAUCCUCAAAAGAUUUUACAGCUACACCAUCGAGGUCACCCUGACCGGUUGCAUCACUGCCUGGCAUGGCCCAAUACAUCACUGGGGCCAAGCUUCCUGCCAUCCAGGACCUAUAUAACAGGCGGUGUCAGAGGAAAGCCCAUAAAAUUGUCAUGUACUCCAGUCACCCAAGUCAUAGACUGUUCUCUCUGCUACCAAACGGCACUGGAGCGCCAAGUCUAGGACCAAAAGGCUCCUUAACAGCUUCUACCCCCAAGCCAUAAGACUGCUGUACAAUUAAUCAAAUGGCCACCGGACUAUUUACAUUGACUAUCUACAUGUACAAAUUAUCUCAACUAACCUGUACCCCCACCCACUGACUCGGUACCUGUACCCCCUGUAUAUAGCC
rnacentral:lncRNA from 1 species